UUCUGUUUUAACAGGUUAAAAUAAUUUAUUUUUUCUUUUAAACUGGUUGAAUCAAGGGAUUCUUUGAAUAGUAUAGCCCUGAAAUUUGAUACAACGCCCAACGAACUUGUUCAGUUAAAUAAGUUAUUCUCCCGAGCAGUUGUUACUGGACAGAUUGGCCCUGAGCUAACAUCUGCUUCCAAUCCUACCCUUUUUGCUUGAGGAAGAUUGUUGCUGAGCUAAUAUCUAUGCCAGUCUUACUCUAUUUUAUAUGUGGGACGCUGCCACAGCAUGGCUUGAUGAGUGAUGUGUAGGUCCAUGCCCAGGAUCCAAACCGGUGAACCCAAGGCCCCUGAAGCAGAGCACGCAAGCUUAACCAUUAUGCCAUGGGGCCGGCCCCAAUCCAAAUUUUUCUUAAUACAUAUUGAAAAUAAUUGUGUAUUGUCUUUUCAAAUACAGUUUUAAAGAGCUUUUUUAAAAUAUUCAAAGCAGUACAUGUACACGAUUGAUAAAAUUAAUUUUUAGAGGUUUUAUAUGUUCCUGAUCCUGAAUAUGUCUCCAGUGUUGAGAGCUCUCCAUCUCUAAGCCCCAUAAGUCCUCUGUCACCAACAUCGUCUGAGGCUGAAUUUGAUAAGACCACU
rnacentral:lncRNA from 1 species